ACAAUCUUGAAAGCAGUCAAAGGAAAAUGAAAAAGAAACUACCAUAUGAAUGAGUGUAGAUUUCUCAUCAGGAACCAUAGCGGCCAGAAAAAAAUGUCAUAAUGUUCAGUAAGUAACAAAAGAAAAAGACCUAUCAACCCAGAAUGCUAUGUGGAGCAAAAGUAUCUUUCAGACAUAAAGGCAAAUAAAUGCAUUCUCAUUGGAAGGUAAGUCAAUACAUUCUCAUUCUUAGCAAGAAUGCUGGAAAAGAAUUAGCAAAGAUUUGAGAUAAGAAAAGUGAUACCAGAAGGAAACUUAGAACAUCGUCAAUGAAGGAACGAAAGCAGAAAUAGAAAAUGUCUGGGUAGACAUAACAGACUGUUCUUCUUCUCCUGAGUUCCUUAAGGUCUAGGGUGUCUAUACUUCCUCUGAAUUACCUGAUCCUACUACAGUGUCUGGCACAGAGCAUCUCCCCAGUGAAUAUGUACUAAAUGAGUGGAAAGUAAUUGAUAGAUUCAAAAGAGUUGUGCAAGAAUAAUGUUCAUUAUUUGGCAAAUCAUUGAAUGUGGUGUUUGAUGGAAGACAAUGAAUCAAAGUUGACUUGAAAGGAGACUACGGAAAGGAAGAAUGACUAAGAUCUCUGAAGAAGGGAAAAGCUAGAUGACUGGGCCACAAGAGGAAAAAAAGCAGCAAGACAGAGAAUAAGUACCCACUGCACUCUUGCCCUGGGCCAUCAAUGAGAAGAUCUGCUCUUAGUGGAGCCCUGCUUUCGCGGUGAAGGCCUUGAAGUCGCGUGUGUUCUAGACUGCCCACUAAGGAUGAAAAAAGAUGCUGUGAGAUGAAGAAGUAGCUCAAGUGGUGGAGUGCUCGCUUAGCAUGUGAGAGGUAGUGGGAUUGAUGCCCACAUUCUCCAGGUUUCACUAGUCGGACCUCAGGUCUCCAGGUUACAGUGGAAAAAAAUAUGUGUUAGACACUGAUCUCAGAAAACAGUAAGUUAGACACUCAUCUCAGUAGCAGCCUGGACACUUCUUUGGCUCAUUAUGUAAGGGCAGCAACAAUACGGGCUUGACUAAGAUUCUACUGGUAUGUGGUAUAGUAUAGAUCUAUCGAUGUGUAAUUAGUUUUCUGUUUCUUUGAGGAGCUGUGAUACAAAGGGACAUAUCCAGUUGCACUUAUUCUCCCUGUUUCCUCCUGCAGCUUGGUCCUAAAUGCAGCAUAAUUAUGGAAAGCGCAGGGCAGAGCCACUCAGGUAAAUACAGCCCCAGCUUUCUGAUCGGGAGACCGAAACUAGGAGUUGCCAAGUAACCAGGAAAGACACUGUGGAGAGCAAACCUGUCAAGUUGUAUGUGAACUCCUGGAUGCGCCUGUGAGCUGUGAAUAAGUGGCUCUGAUCAAAGACAACUUAUCUAAAAAGAGCCUGAGAAUCGAACUAAGUGAUAGCCUACUUUCCAGUCCUCACUGGCCACUGGGUUGCACAUACUCCAGAGUCUCUGAAUAGCAGUGUUAAGGCUUUGAAAAUAGAAUCGACUUUGAAACUACAACACACAAGGCUGGCUGGUUAUUGGAACUUGAACACAAGGCAAUCACAUGCCUGCAAAAACAAAAAUAGCAAUAUUAUCCUUAAGAUUUCAACAAGACACAGUGUCUCAUCACAUAAUGCAAAGUACAACCCCAAAAUAUUCAGCAUAUGAAGAACCAGGGCAAUCUUAAUUCACUUGGCAAAGAGAAUCCUCGAAUAACAAUACUGAGAAGACACAGAUGUUACAAUCAUCUGACACAUACUUUUAAGCAGUUAUUACAACAAUGCUCCAUGAAUGAAAGGAUAACACUCUUGAAGUGAAUGGAAAGUUGGGAAGUCUUAGCAAGUAUCUGGAAGCUCUAAACACUGAUUUUAAACUUAAAAAUUAAAAAAUGUAUUCAUCAAAACUAUUAGGAGAAAAAAAACUUCAAUGGGUUAUUUCAAUAACAAAAUUGAGACACUCAGAAUAAAGUCAAUGAACUUGAAAACAGAACAAAAAUACCAACCUAACCUGAACAAUAGAGAAAAAGGAGUGCUUUUGCAAAUGAACAGAGCCUCCCGGACAAACAGAAAAAUAAGAAAAAUCUAACACAUCAUUGUAAUCCUGCAGGAAGAAGAGAAAGAGGUCCUCCAGAAAGAAAACUCCGAAGAAUUAAUGGCUGAAAACAUAUCAAAUUUAUCAAAACACUUUAGAAGUUCAAUAAAUGUCAAGUAGGUUAAACCCAAAGAAAUCCAUACCCAGACACAUCAUAAUCAAACUGCUGAAAACUAAGGAAAACCAUAAAAAUCUUGAAGGCAGCCAAAUGAAAAUAAAAGGGAAACUGCCACUUGAAUGACUGUGGACUUCUCAUCAGAAACCAUAGGGGCCCAAGGAAACAUUUACUAAAUACCAAAAGAAAAGACCUGUCAACCCAGAAUGCUAUGUAGAGCAAAAAUAUCUUUCAGACUAAAGGUAAAUAAAUACAUUCUCACAGGAAGGUAAACUGAGAGAAUUCAUUGCUGGUAGAACUGCUGGACAAGAAUUAGCAACGAUUUAAGAUGAGAAAAAUGAUACCAGAAAGAGACAGGACACCAUCAGUGAAGGAACGAAAGCCGAAAUAGAAAAUGUCUGGGUAGACAUUACAGACUAUUAUUCUUCUCUUGAGUUCCUUAAGGAUCCCGACUCAGAUUGAAAAAGCAGAGGAUGGUCACUGCCUUCCAGGUCUGAGGCUGUCUCCCAGAAACUUCAUUCCUCGCUUCGCCUUGGUAGGGAAGUUCCCGGAGGUGUUUGAAAAGCUGGAAACUUAAGUGGGACAUGGAACGAUAUUUGUGUCCCGGUUAUCAAAACAGGCAGAAAAGACAAAUGCGGUGUGGGGGAAUUGGCUCAAGCGGUAGAGCGCUUGCUUAGCAUGCAAGAGGUAGCAGGAUCGACGCCUGCACUCUCCAGCUUCUUUUAAUCCCUAGGCUACCAAUGGUAUCUGGUAAAUACUUUCAGCGGAUUUACCGCUCUUUAUUUGACUCAGUUUCAUCUUGUUAUGUACAUUUUUUUUUUAAGGAAAUUAUACAUAGCAUUCCAUGCAAAAGCAAAAAAGGAAGCGAUUAGUCACAAGUGAGUUUUGCCAAUACAGGUUUUGGGGCUUCAGCUCGAAGUUAAUACAAUGUAUUUUUGUGGGGAAAUCAAACUUUAGCCUUUUGGGUACAAAAUAUGAGGAACAGCCUGGAAAUAGUGUCAGGAGGCAAAAGCAGGAGACUUGAAUGUGCCAACCUUUUGCUUUUAUUCAC
rnacentral:tRNA from 1 species